AAUAAAAUCAUUUUUCAGUUUUUAGAUACAAUAUUUUGACUCUUUGUCUUAUUUGAAUUUUUUUUGCGAUUAAUAUUUUUAUUCUUACUAGAUGAUAAAAUAUGAACAGUACUUUAUGUGUGACUAAUUUUCUUAAGUAUUUGUAUAAAUUUUUCAAAUAAAACAAAUGGUUAAAGCAUUGGGCACAAAAAUCAAAAAAUAACGUUAUU
rnacentral:pre_miRNA from 1 species